GGUGAGUUAGCUCAGCAGGUUAGAGCACGGUGCUGGUAAUGCUGAGGUUGUUGGUUCAAACCCCAUAUGGAGCA
rnacentral:tRNA from 1 species